GAGAUGUGCUUAUCUAUAGCAAGGGUCCAGUGAAAAUGAUGUAUUCUUUUGCCAUCAAAGGAAUAUUGAUUUUUUUUUUUCUUUUCACAUAAUAUUGUGAUGGGCUUGAUUUCCGUGGGUAAUAUUUAUUCAUGAAGAGGGUGGAAUCUUAAUCCAAAUCAUUUCAGUAACCAAGAGCCAGGUGAUUCUCAUAAACCUUUUGUUAGGCAGGCGGAGGCUGUGCUGUAAAUGCCUCCCAGCCGCAAGCCCUCCUUGCUGGGACCCAGCCCUGCCGCCUGUCCAGCACAGAGGUGAAGCCCCUCAGGUGGUCAGGAGCUGAGGCUAGCAUCACCGCUUGCAGGAAUCCUACCAGCUAAAACAAAACAGAAGAAAGUACCUGUCCUUCUCAGCCAAUCCAGUGAUAACACAAAAUAUUGGAAAGACUUGAAAUCCAAGCCACAUUAUGGCACACAGAUUGAUAUUAAUUACCAAUAUCCGUCGGAAGUACAUUCUAACCAUGUCAUAGGAAUGGAAUUAACAAAGAUAUUGGCACAGGGUCAUUCCUGAACACAAAGUUGAUAUCAGGUGAAAUAAGAGUCAAGAUGGCUUGAGUAAUGAAGACAAUCUCAGUAUGAUAAAAACAUACCAAGCUACACUUUGGAGUUUUUAACAACACUCAGAGUCAGUAAAGCACUAAAAAAAGUAGCUGAAGUGUAAAUUAACCAUUAUCUCUCUCAGACUGCAUCUCUGUUUAAUUUCAGAGUGUGUGUUACACAAACAAUAACGUAAAUAUAUGUAACUGAGAUGUAAUUUUAAAAUAAAAUUAAA